AGAGUUUGAUCCUGGCUCAGGAUGAACGCUAGCGACAGGCUUAACACAUGCAAGUCGAGGGGCAGCACAGGUAGCAAUACCGGGUGGCGACCGGCGCACGGGUGAGUAACGCGUAUGCAACUUGCCUAUCAGAGGGGGAUAACCCGGCGAAAGUCGGACUAAUACCGCAUGAAGCAGGGGCCCCGCAUGGGGAUAUUUGCUAAAGAUUCAUCGCUGAUAGAUAGGCAUGCGUUCCAUUAGGCAGUUGGCGGGGUAACGGCCCACCAAACCGACGAUGGAUAGGGGUUCUGAGAGGAAGGUCCCCCACAUUGGUACUGAGACACGGACCAAACUCCUACGGGAGGCAGCAGUGAGGAAUAUUGGUCAAUGGGCGUAAGCCUGAACCAGCCAAGUCGCGUGAGGGAUGAAGGUUCUAUGGAUCGUAAACCUCUUUUAUAAGGGAAUAAAGUGCGGGACGUGUCCCGUUUUGUAUGUACCUUAUGAAUAAGGAUCGGCUAACUCCGUGCCAGCAGCCGCGGUAAUACGGAGGAUCCGAGCGUUAUCCGGAUUUAUUGGGUUUAAAGGGUGCGUAGGCGGCCUUUUAAGUCAGCGGUGAAAGUCUGUGGCUCAACCAUAGAAUUGCCGUUGAAACUGGGGGGCUUGAGUAUGUUUGAGGCAGGCGGAAUGCGUGGUGUAGCGGUGAAAUGCAUAGAUAUCACGCAGAACCCCGAUUGCGAAGGCAGCCUGCCAAGCCAUUACUGACGCUGAUGCACGAAAGCGUGGGGAUCAAACAGGAUUAGAUACCCUGGUAGUCCACGCAGUAAACGAUGAUCACUAGCUGUUUGCGAUACACUGUAAGCGGCACAGCGAAAGCGUUAAGUGAUCCACCUGGGGAGUACGCCGGCAACGGUGAAACUCAAAGGAAUUGACGGGGGCCCGCACAAGCGGAGGAACAUGUGGUUUAAUUCGAUGAUACGCGAGGAACCUUACCCGGGUUUGAACGCAUUCGGACCGAGGUGGAAACACCUUUUCUAGCAAUAGCCGUUUGCGAGGUGCUGCAUGGUUGUCGUCAGCUCGUGCCGUGAGGUGUCGGCUUAAGUGCCAUAACGAGCGCAACCCUUGCCACUAGUUACUAACAGGUAAAGCUGAGGACUCUGGUGGGACUGCCAGCGUAAGCUGCGAGGAAGGCGGGGAUGACGUCAAAUCAGCACGGCCCUUACAUCCGGGGCGACACACGUGUUACAAUGGCGUGGACAAAGGGAAGCCACCUGGCGACAGGGAGCGAAUCCCCAAACCACGUCUCAGUUCGGAUCGGAGUCUGCAACCCGACUCCGUGAAGCUGGAUUCGCUAGUAAUCGCGCAUCAGCCAUGGCGCGGUGAAUACGUUCCCGGGCCUUGUACACACCGCCCGUCAAGCCAUGGGAGCCGGGGGUACCUGAAGUCCGUAACCGCGAGGAUCGGCCUAGGGUAAAACUGGUGACUGGGGCUAAGUCGUAACAAGGUAGCCGUACCGGAAGGUGCGGCUG
rnacentral:rRNA from 1 species